rnacentral:rRNA from 1 species
ACUCCUACGGGAGGCAGCAGUGGGGAAUAUUGCACAAUGGGCGCAAGCCUGAUGCAGCCAUGCCGCGUGUGUGAAGAAGGCCUUCGGGUUGUAAAGCACUUUCAGUUGUGAGGAAGGUGGUGUCGUUAAUAGCGGCAUCAUUUGACGUUAGCAACAGAAGAAGCACCGGCUAACUCCGUGCCAACAGCCGCGGUAAUACGGAGGGUGCGAGCGUUAAUCGGAAUUACUGGGCGUAAAGCGCAUGCAGGUGGUUUGUUAAGUCAGAUGUGAAAGCCCGGGGCUCAACCUCGGAACUGCAUUUGAAACUGGCAGACUAGAGUACUGUAGAGGGGGUAGAAUUUCAGGUGUAGCGGUGAAAUGCGUAGAGAUCUGAAGGAAUACCGGUGGCGAACGG